rnacentral:rRNA from 1 species
CACGUAGGGGGCGAGCGUUGUCCGGAUUUAUUGGGCGUAAAGAGCUCGUAGGCGGUUUCGUUAGUCGGGUGUGAAAACCCCAGGCUCAACCUGGGGACGCCACCCGAUACUGCGAUGACUAGAGUCCGGUAGGGGAGUGUGGAAUUCCUGGUGUAGCGGUGAAAUGCGUAGAUAUCUGGAGGAACACCGGUGGCGAAGGCGGCAUCCUGGGCCGGUAUUGACGCUGAGGAGCGAAAGCCAGGGGAGCAAACGGG